AUUGUCAUCUUGGCCCAUGCAGUGGGUAAAAUGAUGGGUAAAGGUGUAGCAAACAAAGGAAAUAUUCGUAAGGUAUGUUCCGUUCCCGGUUAUUAUUGUUUUAUAUCAGGAAGCAUUAGAAAAGUUGGGCUCUUAUUCAGGUGAAGAAGAUAUGGAGUAUUCCAGCUUCUCGAGUGGGAUUGAACGUGUUGUAAAAACAUGGAAAGCCUCAGUGGGCACCCGUGAAGAUGGGGUUAUGACUGCAGAACUCCUAGAAAAUGCCUUUUCUUUUCAUUGGAACUGUUUGGAUUGCAAUCUUACAAAGGAAAGCACUUUUCCCUCCAAAAUUGUCAUUUAAAACGUCACAUCAGA